rnacentral:rRNA from 1 species
UACGUAGGGGGCAAGCGUUGUCCGGAAUCAUUGGGCGUAAAGAGCGUGUAGGCGGCCUGAAAGGUCAGCUGUGAAAACUCGAGGCUCAACCUCGAGACGUCGGUUGAAACCAUCUGGCUAGAGUCCGGAAGAGGAGUGUGGAAUUCCCGGUGUAGACGGUGAAAUGCGCAGAUAUCGGGAAGAACACCCGUGGCGAAGGCGGCACUCUGGGACGGUACUGACGCUGAGACGCGAAAGCGUGGGGAGCGAACAGG